GCCAAUUUCAUUAAUUGUUAAAGUUUAAGAAGUAAUUAGGAAGAAAAAAUAGUUCAUAAUACAUAUUUAAAAAUACAUAAUGUAUAUGGUGUUUUUAUAGACUUUUCCACAAAUUAAUACUAUUAGCAUUAUUAUGACUGAUUUUGGACAUGAAGUCAGCUAGCAUGUUGUCAUCUCUCCACAUAUGAUGAAAUUAUACAUUUCAUUCCUUCUCAAGAAUAUUCAAAUGUUCUUCAAAAUUUGAGCUACCCUCCCAAUGCAAACUUCCAAGUCUUUGAAGACAAUAUCUAUUACCUCCACGCAAUUACUUUUCAAGAUAACCUUUCUUAACCUCAAGCUCAAAUCUAGUCUCAAACCAAAUUCCAAAGUGUGAAGCUCUGCUAAAAUGGAAAUAUCAGUUCCAAAGCUUGUUGAAAAUCUAGGAAGCCAGUCGCCUUCAUAAUCACGCCUCUGCCACCCAUCAACUUGUCCAACACAGAAUAGCUACCAUCAACAUUAAUCUUCACAACUCCAUUCUCCGGUCUGGACCACUGGACACUAGGUUGGGGUUCACAUCUAGAGCAAGUAUCCAUAUGACACCAAGGAAUUGUCAUGGGGAUAGAGUUAUUCAACCACCUCUAAGUCCACCAGAUACAUCCAAAAACUAACCUCUCAUGAGUAGUCCUUGCAUUAGCGAAGAAUCAGGAGAUAAAAGAAUUAUUAUCACAAAAUUCAUUGUUAUUGAACCCCAAGCGUUUUCAAAGGGGCAUUAUUUUUUCACAAUCUCUAAAUAAAUGAAGGAGGUCUUCCACCUCAUGAUGACACCAAGGACGGAUAAGAGUACCCACUAAACUCCUAGAUAAAUGAAGCAAGUUAGUUGGUAGAGAAUGAUGAGUAGAGAGCCAAUAUAUAGAUUUAAUCUCUCCACUUUCUAGCUGUAAGUGAAACCUUUAUCUAACUCUAAGUUCCUCCAUAACUUUCACAAUACUCUUCUAUAUCGGAGAAGCUGACAAUUUCUUAGGAGCAAACAACAUCCAACAUUCUCCAAUAUAUUUAUUCUUCAGCUUAAAUAGAAUGUGUGGUUAGACUCUAUAAUAUAGAAAUAAGAUAUACAAUUACUUGUUUUCAAGAAAACUUUGUAGAGUCCUUAAAACAAUGAUGCUAUCUUGAAAAAAAAGCGUUAUAGAUUUAUUAUCCACUACAAUGCAUUCUUGAUAAUCUUUUAGUUGAUUCUAAAGCACAAUUCUCAAAUUUGAGAUGGUGAAGAGUCAUAACCGCUUCUUAGAGCACUCACAGUGGUAACAAAAAAAUAAUUCUUAACGAAAUAAGUACGUUCUUCGUCCAAGUUCACCACUGGAGAGGAGUCGUUUUUGUUCUUAUUUCACAACGAUAAAUUAAAUAAGCAUUUUUCUUAAAGUUGUGAGUCAACAUUAAAAAAUGGAAAAAAUUGUUACAAGAGAAAUAUAAAUGUGGAGUAGAUUUGUAUAGUCCAUUUAAGAACGAAAAUAGAGUUGCACUAUUGGAAGUAAUUUUGGCUUGAGUUAUUUAAACUGUUGGAAGGUGUAAACAAAUAUAAGAUAUUCAGUGGAGUCCAUUUAAGAACGAAAAAUGUGUUGCACCACUGUGGAUCGUCUUGUGUAAAGGCUCAAAUUUAUUCAAUUAUUCAAUUCAAAUUUCCUAACUAUGUAAACUCAACCUUACAAUUUACAUAGACACUGUAUAUGUUUUGUCGUUCUUCUUGCUUGUUCUUGUCCAUUUUUCUUAUCAUUGUUUUAAAUUUUUAAUUAUAAGGGCAAUGAGUACAAAAGUUGGGUAGGAAAAAAGAGUGGGUUAUAAUAAAGAUGCUGAAACGUUUUCUAGUUUUCUGCAGAUUCUGGCUUGGGUUGGGCUCCUGGACCUUUUAGUACUGGAGUAGGAUGAGAAAUAAUUUAUUAUAUUUUAUAUUUGUUUAAUUUAAAAAUCAAUAAAUAUUUUAAUCAAUUGAUUUUUAUGUGCCACAUGUCAAGAGAACUACCAGAGAGAUGACAUGACCUAGGUGCAUAUAUAGCAUGUGAGAAUUUGUUGAAGCAAAGCAUCCUGUCUAGCAUCAUUUGAAACCUCAAAUGGUCAUACCAGUUUUUAGUUUUAUUUCUAACAUUUUUUAUAACAUGAAAAAAAUCACCCAAAUUAGAAAAAUGUAGCACUGACAUGGAGGGUCAAAUGCAUCCAGCCUUAUCUCCAUAGAAAGAGGUUCUGCAACUUGAAUUCGUGACUAAUAAGUCACAAGACAAACAUCUUAUCAUUGAAUUCGUGACUAAUAAGUCACAAGACAAACAUCUUAUCAUUGUGUCAAGAUUCAUUAUCUUCUUAGAUUAACAAUAUUUUUUUGGUUCAUUCUUUGGUACUACCAAGUAUUCUUCAUCUUCUUGAUAUAAUCAAACUAGAACAUUUUAUGGAAUGGGAGAUAAUUUAAAAUAUUGUCCUACAAAAUGAUUCUUCUCCUAGAAAUUGGAUAUAUUGAGAAUUCUUUUUACCUCUCUCCCUGCUAUCCUAAAUGGUGUCCUACAACAAUGAUAUUGAACAAAAAAUAGAAAAAUAAUAAUAAGCAUUUAAUUUUCUAACUCACAUAUGAUUUCAUUGAUAUGGUCCCUCAGUGCUUCCUUCUCUCUCAUUUCUUCUUCUGUUCUUCUUAAGUUUCUUCUAUGUUCUUUGCUAUCUGCCUUGAUAGCCAUACUUCUUUCUAAGCAGACAUCAUUACUCAGUAAAUUCACAUGAUCCACUUUAUUUCUUUCUGCUAUUGCAUGAUGGCUUUAAUACAAUAUCAAAUAUUUGUCCAUAAUUAGUGGAGUGUUAACAGGUAAGAAACAUGUGAAAUUUUGGUAUAUUUGGUAUAAUGUAUAUGAGCUCUAGCUAAGUAAUGGAUUGAAUAUGAGUUGUAGCUAAGUAAUGGAUUGAAUGUAAGAGGGUGUAGGAAUGGUAUAGAAUGGCAUAUAAAGUAGAAAGGGAAGGGAAUACAUGGAACAAAACAAAAUUAUAUUUGUUUGGAUGAUUAAUGAGGAAAACUAAGGGAAUGGUUAUUGGUAAAGAAUGAGUUUGAAAAUGAAAUAUAACAUUCACAUACAUAAAGGAUUUUCAUUGAAGAAAAGAAAAAAUAGGUACUUUAGACUUAGUACUUACUUUCAUGAUAUACAAAUAUCCAUACUCAACAGUUAAUUAUACAUUCUCCACUUCACACCUCUGUCAUAUAGGGUAGAGGCAUUGGACUUGUUUCUUCUUGUAUAAAGAAAGACGACCUUGU
rnacentral:lncRNA from 1 species